CCUGGUGGUUUUAGCGAGGAGCCUGAACCCGAUCCCAUCUCGAACUCGGCCGUUAAAUUCCUCAGCGCCAAUGGUACUAAGUCUCAAGGCUUGGAAGAGUAGGUCGCUGCCAGGU
rnacentral:rRNA from 2 species